AAUAGAUACCCUGGUAGUCCAUGCCGUAAACGUUGGGCACUAGGUGUGGGGGACAUUCCACGUUUUCCGCGCCGUAGCUAACGCAUUAAGUGCCCCGCCUGGGGAGUACGGCCGCAAGGCUAAAACUCAAAGGAAUUGACGGGGGCCCGCACAAGCGGCGGAGCAUGCGGAUUAAUUCGAUGCAACGCGAAGAACCUUACCAAGGCUUGACACGAACCGGAAAGAUCUGGAAACAGGUCCCCCACUUGUGGUCGGUUUACAGGUGGUGCAUGGUUGUCGUCAGCUCGUGUCGUGAGAUGUUAGGUUAAGUCCCGCAACGAGCGCAACCCUCGUUCUAUGUUGCCAGCACGUGAUGGUGGGGACUCAUAGGAGACUGCCGGGGUCAACUCGGAGGAAGGUGGGGAUGACGUCAAAUCAUCAUGCCCCUUAUGUCUUGGGCUUCACGCAUGCUACAAUGGCCGGUACAAAGGGCUGCGAAACCGCGAGGUGGAGCGAAUCCCAAAAAACCGGUCUCAGUUCGGAUUGGGGUCUGCAACUCGACCCCAUG
rnacentral:rRNA from 1 species